rnacentral:rRNA from 1 species
GAUGAACGCUGGCGGUAUGCCUAACACAUGCAAGUCGAACGAAUUCUUCGGAAUUAGUGGCGGACGGGUGAGUAACGCGUGAGAAUCUGCCUCUUGAAUGGGGACAACAGUUGGAAACGACUGCUAAUACCCAAUGAGCCGCAAGGUGAAAGAUUUAUCGUCAAGAGAGGAGCUCGCGUCCGAUUAGCUAGUUGGUGAGGUAAUGGCUUACCAAGGCGGCGAUCGGUAGCUGGUCUGAGAGGAUGAGCAGCCACACUGGGACUGAGACACGGCCCAG